rnacentral:lncRNA from 1 species
AAAAUUUCAAGGCAUGGUCUUUUCCUAACCACCAUAUUCCACCAUUCAUAAAGAAACCCACUGGGCAUUGACAAAUUUCCGUUGGGGUCCAACCAACGACAGUUGAGUAGAGGGUGAGGGCCGGCUGCUCAACCUUCUUCCCUAAUAGGGGAAGCAAGCCCAUUAGCAAAUAGCGUACUUUAUUGUUUUGAGUUUUAUGUGCGUCCCAUGCUAAGAUACAAUCGUGGUGGUCUAAUUGGUGCGCUGGAAUACCAUAAAUUAUGUAUUGAGGAAGCAAAAUGCAAAAUGGCUUGGAUGGAAAUGGCAUUUGGAGAGCUACUAAUUCGAUUCAAGUUACCUUCAACAUUUGGAUCAAUCAUGUUUCUUUCUUGAAAGUAAUUAUUAUUGCAUUUAGAUUUUAUUUUGAUUUCUAAAUUAUUUCUGGGACAUCAUCAUGUUUAAAGUUUCAUUAAUGGAAUUUCUAAUAUAGUUUAAAGGCUUUCGGCUUGUUCAUUACUAAGGUUGUUGUUCAUGUAAAAUUGCCUUUCACAUCAAAUGUUGUUUGAUUGAAUGUGACACUUGUG